AUGAUAAUCCCUCGCCAUCGGCUUCCCACCUGCGCGACACCCUCGCCGACGACCUCGUUAUUAGCAUGGGAACAGUUUGAUUUCCUGGCCGGAUCAGCCAAGGAGAAGGAACAAGGGAGUGGAGCAAACAACUAUCCAUCUCGAUUGAGUAGUGAGUCCCAUGUUUACACUCGUGCUAAGAUUUCCGAAGAAUUUGUUCUUGUGUUUAGGGCGAUCGGGACGCCAGAUUGUAGUGGUUUUGAUGUCGAUCGUUUUCAUGUUUUGGUGAGAGAUUGCAUGCAUGUACCUGCUAGUCCAGGGUGA
rnacentral:rRNA from 1 species